AACGAACGCUGGCGGCAUGCCUAACACAUGCAAGUCGAACGAGACCUUCGGGUCUAGUGGCGCACGGGUGCGUAACGCGUGGGAACCUGCCCUUAGGUUCGGAAUAACUCCCCGAAAGGGGUGCUAAUACCGGAUAAUGUCUUCGGACCAAAGAUUUAUCGCCUUUGGUUGGGCCCGCGUUGGAUUAGCUAGUUGGUAGGGUAAAAGCCUACCAAGGCGACGAUCCAUAGCUGGUAUGAGAGAAUGAUCAGCCACACUGGGACUGAGACACGGCCCAGACUCCUACGGGAGGCAGCAGUGGGGAAUAUUGGACAAUGGGCGAAAGCCUGAUCCAGCAAUGCCGCGUGAGUGAUGAAAGCCUUAGGGUUGUAAAGUUCUUUUACCCGUGAUGAUAAUGACAGUACCGGGAGAAUAAGCUCCGGCUAACUCCGUG
rnacentral:rRNA from 1 species